GUGUUUCUGUGUUACUGGGUAAACGCGAUGAGCCCAUGCUAGUUGCAUGUGCUCGGCAGAUUAUUGAACACAUAAGUAGCACAGGUUCUUCUAGGUCUUUGGUCUUGUCUCU